rnacentral:rRNA from 1 species
UACGAAGGGAGCUAGCGUUGUUCGGAAUCACUGGGCGUAAAGCGCACGUAGGCGGAUGUGCCAGUCAGGGGUGAAAUCCCGGAGCUCAACUUCGGAACUGCCCUUGAUACAGCACGUCUUGAGUCCGAGAGAGGUGAGUGGAAUUCCUAGUGUAGAGGUGAAAUUCGUAGAGAUCUGGAGGAACAUCAGUGGCGAAGGCGACCGCCUGGCCCAACACUGACGCUGAGGUGCGAAAGCGUGGGUAGCAAACAGGAUUAGAAACCCUAGUAGU